GUCAUGUUCCCAGACCCUGGGAUACUUCAUCCAUGUGCACAGUGACUGGGGGCUAGUCAGAGACAUCCAUCUCCUAACCUGCUGAUUUCUGUAACUGUUGUGAUCCUCAGUUUAUCUUGAGGGACACGGUUGGGAGAGAACUUCCAGAUUCUAGUUUCCACAAUGAUAACACUGUGGCCUGGCUGCCUCUUGGAGAAAAGUGUAAUGGGAGGUGGGAUCUUGGAUCAUGCUGGGCCUCAUGGAAUUUGAGGCCUUAUAACAAAGACCUCAUAGAGCUACCUUGUCCCACCCACCAUGGAAGAUACAACAAGAAGGUGACAUCUACGAACCAGAAUGUGGCCCUUGUCAGACAUCAAAUCUGCCAGUGCCUUGGUCUUGGACUUCCCAUUAUCUGGAACUGUAAGAAGCUAAAAUUUUCAUGAAGUGUCAUGAUGUUGGCAACUCAUUUUAAAAUGGUUUGGAAAAAUGCACAUGUGCAUUGUUUGUGUAUAUUGAGGCAGCAAAGAUAUGGCAAAAUGGUAAUUGCUGAACCUGUGUGAAAGUUACCGGCAGACACAACAUCUUUGUUGGUAAUGUGGUGCUGAGGAUCGAACCCGGGCCGCACGCAUGCCAGACGAGCGCGCUACCGCUUGAGCCACAUCCCCAGCCCUAGCUGGGUUCUUGAAGGCUUUCAAGACUAUGAUCUCAGCAGAUCUGGGCUGGAGAAAUCAGAGGAGAAGUUGAAAAGUUCCUGCACCCAGUCCCCAUUAUGCCACCCAGACUGGGGGCAGAUACUUGAGUACAUCUGGGGACUCUGAUAAGGACUGUGCUCCUUCCCAGGCACAGCCUGAGGAAAUUGGCUGAGAUCCUAGUGUCCUCUCCACUUGUGUAGGGAGGGGAGGAUGGCACAUCUGGGCUGAGAGGGCCCAAGAUAGCCAGUCCUCCCUGAGCUCCCUGCAGCCCUCACAGCAUGCACCUGCCAGGAUCUGAAGGGACUGCUGCUGGGUCAGGAUGAGGAGAAGCGGGUGGUGCACAGGCUGAGAUUGUGGGAAGAAUGUUCUGGGUGGAGGGAAUAGCUCUGGGGUGGAGGUUCUGGGCUGGGGGCUCAUUUGGCAGGCUGGCAGCAAGAAGGGGUGGGACCAGGCAGUGAAGCAGCCAAGGGAGGGACAGAGUAAUAGGUGGUGAGGAAGGAGAGGGGUCUGGCUACUAGGCAUAGUAGUCGUGUAGUCCAGGGAGAGGACCCUAAGUUUAUUCUCAGAGUUGGUGGGAAACCACUGAAAGUUUUGAAAAGGGAAGUGACAUGAUCUGGCAGCUUCACUCUAGCUGCUGUGUGGGAAAAUGCCUUCAGGAGAGCAAGAGCGGAAUUCUGCAGAUGAUCACGAUAAUCCAGACUGAGAAGCAGUUUGCCUGUUUCUAGCUGUGCGAUCUAAAGCUGCCCGCUGGCUGUGAGCACUUGAAAUGUGGCUGGUCUGAACUGAGAGACGCUGUAAGUGUCAACGACUUAGUACAGAUUUCAGAAGAUAAAAUAUCACAUGGAUGGUUUUUAAAAUAUUGAUUUCAUGCCAGGCAUGGUGGCUCAUGCCUAUAAUCCCAGCCUCUUGAGAGGCUGAGACAGGAGGAUCACAAGUUAGAGACCAGCCUCAGCAAUUUAUCGAGGCCCUAUGCAGUUUAGUGACACACUAGGGUGUGGCUCUGUGGUUAAGCACCCUGGGCUCAACUCCCAGGACUCCCCUUCUCCCCCCCAAAAUUGAUUACAAGUUGAAACCUAUUCAAAUAUUGAUUACAUGUUGAAAUGAUACUAUUCUGACUAUGUUAGGUAAGUUAAAAUGUAUUACCAAAAUUAAUCUCACCUUCAUUUUACGUCUCAAAUCUUGUGGAAGAUCUGAUCUUAAAACCGUGGCCCUGGUUGGGUUUCGGUUGGACACUGCGGGACCUGAGUGUUAACAGCAGAGUGCCCAGAAAUGGCGGGACUCUGCUUUGUCUCUGAAAGUCGCGGAGGAGUGCAGGGGAGAAGCGCUCAGGGCUGUGCAAGUUGUUCAUUGGUUUAUACAAAAUAGGGUUUCUGGGGAAGGAGCGAGUCUGGAGAAAGGAAACUCCUGAUUACGGUUCAGAAAUGCGGAGGGAGAGAAGCGGGCAGUUCGAGGUUAUUCGUGUUGCGGGGGAUGGAGGUGACAGCUCCAGGGGAGGUCUGAGGCACUUCAGCUUUUAGAGAUAGGGAAAAGGGAGAAAGAGGCUGGGAAAGAAUGAGGAGGAGAGGCAGAAGCCCAGGAGGGUGGCUGGAGGAGGCGAGGCAUUGAGGGUGUGGCUAUGGGGCAUAUAUUUUGUAUCUGGAGAGUGGAGUCUCUGCUUUCUGAUCCCCUUGUGAGCCUUGUCCCUCUGCCACACCAUUAUGCCAUGAUGUUCUACCUUACUUCAAGCCCUGAGGAAUGGAGCUAGGGAUCAAACCCAGGGCUUCAAGGUUUCUUAGGGCAUACACUCCAGGGAAAAUGACUCUGCAACUUCAGCUUCAUGAAUAGGGGAACCUGAGUCCCAUGCUGUCCAGGAAGAGCAGGACUUUGUGGUCAAACUCUCAUGAGGUCAAUUCUCUGCUCUACCAAUUCCGGCAAGUUGCUUAACCAUUUGACUCAGUUUUUGUACUUGGUUGUGCAAUGAGUUGAUAGUUCACAGAUGCCAUUAUUACACUUUGCAGGGUCUGACACCUAGUGGCAUACUCCGUCAAUGGUGGCUGCUACUGACAGCACUCUUAUCUGGACAGAUGUACAGGAAGUCCCGAGAAGGCAAGAGAAAGGGGAUCACAGCAAGGCUUCCUCACCCCCAACCCUGUCCCCUUCUUGAGUAGGUCGGAAUGCCAAAUUCCAGAAGCAGAGGCUGGAGAGUAUACGGGGUGUGAAGCAAUCUAUGAGGAUCCCUCUGGGGCCUGGGCUCUUUAUUGGAGCUCAGCAUCUCAGCCAGUGUCUAUUUUCUGAGGGGCUGAGGUUGAAGGGAGGACCCUGUGCUGAUAAUGGCUUGGAAGGGGUUAGUCCUGGAAGAUGAAAAAGAAAACAAGUUUUUAAUCCUUUUAAAAAAUUUUUGGUAACAGGGAGCCACAUGCCCAGACUUUUUUUUUUUUUUUGGUAUUGGGGAUUUAACCCAGGACACUCUACUACUGAGUGACAUCCUCAGCCCUUUUUUUAAAUUUUGAAUCAAUGUCUCCCAAGUUGCUGAGGCUAGUUUUGAACUUUUGAUCCUCCUGCCUCAGCCUCCCAAGUCGCUGAGAUUAUAGGUUAGUGCCACCGCCUGCUUCACCUUAUUCUUUACAAGCUGGUCAGACAGGCACACAAAAUGACAGCUACAUUUACUGAGCCCUUAGUAUGUACUGGGCAGUUUUAUGUACUUUUUUUACAUUUUACUUCAUUUAAUCCUCACAAAUCCCCAGGUUAUAGGCAAAGAAACUGAGGCACAGAGGGACUAGGAAAUUUGUCCACCAUCUACAGUUAACAAAUGGGAUAGCCAGACAUUAGUGUCCUAGUCACACCCUCAGGACUUCAAACUAUUUCAUUUAGUUUUCUCAACAAUCCUCUGAGGCCAGUGUGAUUGUAUCUUCUUUGUGUAGCUGAGGACUCUGAGGUUUAUACAAUUUGCCCAAGGCCAUAAUUCACAGGGGCCUUGAUUCACUUGUGAAUUUCCAGCUUGCAGGUGCCUGGAGGUGUCAGGCAGGGGAGGGGGAGGCCAAAGAUGACCUUUCACCUCCGUGGCAGCCCUAGGAAGAAGUAGAAGCGCCUGCUUUAUGCCUUUGAUUUAUAAGGGGGGCAGGGGUUCAGACCCAGCUGUCAACUUGGAAGCCACUUGAGGAUUCUAUUUAAAAAAUUGCCUUGUACUUAUAAUAGUGGAGGGAAAACAACCACCACCACCCAAGCAAACAGGAAAACAACCUCAAAGUCCAAAAAUGGGGGAACAAGUUAAAUCAAUUAUGGUAUAAGCCCAAGAUGGUGUAUUUUGCAGCUGUUUAAAAAUACCACAUUUUCAAAGACUAUUAGCAUAAGAAAAUGCCUCCAGAUAUAAAUAAAAGCAGGAGAUAGAACUAUAAACACAAUGUGAUCCCAAUAAACAAUGAUAAUGUUGUGUAUGACUUUUUAUACAUAAGAAGAGAUUAGGAGAAAAUACUCGGGGACAUUAAAGACAAUUUUAAGUUUUCUUAAUUAUUCUGUUAUGCACUUGC